UUGAUUGGUAUUUGCACGAGCCCGCGCGCUCCUCUCGCGCUGUGGAUUUGAAUGGUGUAACGCGCGACUUCUGUUGGUGACUGCAACUUUGAAAUCUCCACUUUGACCAAGUACAGAAAAACUCAUUGACA